UUUUUUAUAUAGUUGAUCUAUUUAAUGAUUUUAUUUACACAGUAUUUAUUGCACACAUUGGUUUUUUAUUUAUUGCUGUUUUGAUCAAUCAGUGGAUUGAUGGACUUUUUAUUUGCUGAUUGGCCUAAUUAUUUAUUUGCUUGCUAUUUAUUUUAGUUAUUUAUUUGCUUGGUUGCUUGCUAGUCUCUUGAUCUGAUUAUUCCCUUUCUUCAUUAUUGGUGGUGGUAUUUAUACAUACUUAUUGACUUAUUUAUUGCACAAUUUAUAUAUUGGCCUCUUGAUCUGUUCAUUGCCUUUUUACAUAUCAGGGUAUUGAUUUACAUUAUUUACCUGCUGGCUUAUUUAUUUUCAUUUUUACCAGCCUGCUCAUUUAUUUGGUUGUUUAGUUAUUUAUUGUCUUCAUGGUAGAUGUAAUGAUUUAUUUGCUUAUUUAUGCACUACUUUAUUUAUUGUCUUCAUCUACAUGAUUAUUUCAUUUACUCAUUCACUAUUUAUCUGGUUAAUUAUCUAUAUAUAUAUACCUAUAUCAUUUAUUAUUAGGUUCUUAUUGUUUUUCUAAUAUAUUUAUUGUCUUCAUUUAUUUAUUGAAUUAGUGAUUUAAGAUCUUUAUAUAUUGGAUAGUUAUGUUUUAUGUGGAAUGGUUAUUUACUAUAUUUAGUUCUAUGAAACCCUGGAUCUCACUCUUAUUCUGAAACUGUUAUGAUCAGUUUUUGUCUCUGCAUUUACUGUUUAUUUACAUAUUUAUUUAAUUAUAUUUUGAUGCUGUGGAUUGAACGCUAGGGCCUUGUAUCCUGUCAUUAUACAAUUACUUGUAUACUUGUAUACAAUUCCAUUAUACAAUUAAUUGUAUACAGUGUACAAUUAAUUGUAUACUGUCCAUAAUUUUAAUUUUUAAUUUUGUGAUUUUGUUUUGUUUUGUUGUUCAUUCAUCUUUGGUCUUGUAAAAUAACUCUGUAAAACUCAGUAUUCCUGCCUCUGCCUCCCAAGUGUGGGACUACAGUCAUGCAUUAUUGCAUUACUCCUAUCUAGCAGAUUCAUUUAAUUAUUGAGACUGAUGCAGAUACUCUGAUAGACACAGGACCUACUGCAUCUAACUAGGGAACUAACCAUACUCUUAGCCUAGACACUUAACAUUUUUUUCAUUGCUGGUAAUUUAGCCCAGAAUCUUGUUUAUGUGAAGGAAUUAUUGUCACUGAACCAUAACUCUAAACUUUGAGUGUCUUUCUAAAUCAGGACCCUCACUGUCUUUCCUACCACACCAUUACCAAGUGCCCACAACCACAUACCUAACAUUAAAAUUGUUACCUAGUUUUUAGAACAUACCUUGUCAAGGACCUUGGCUGGAUUUAUGAUGAGCUGUGUUUACUGAGCAUGAUGAAAUGAGGCUCAAAGUGAUGAUUACUCUGAAAUCUAGCCAAAGUGUCAGUUUAAUGACUUAGGUAACAAAGUUAAUUUAUUCCCAAGGAGACUGGAGCUGUAGAUCUUUUCACUCUUACAAACUUGGUUUUUUACCUAUUUCAUUCCCUGUUGUAAAGUGCCUCCAUAUUCCCAUCCUGCUUUCACUCUGCUUUCCUUCUGUAUGUAGAAACCUGAGAAAAAUAAUGGAAGCUAAUGUCUUUCUUCCAGUCAUCAAGUUCUUACCCUCUAUAAUAAUUUCUGGAGCAUGUUCUUAGUCAUUCUCAAUUUUCAAUUCACUAUAUUGAGAUAUUGCUAGUAAGAUACUCAUUGAUAUUUUUUAAUGAGAUAUUUAGAGAAUGCUGAGGGUGAAUCCAGAGAAGGUAUUGUAUAUUUAUCCUCACAGUGCAUUUCAAUAGAGUGUUAAUUUGAUAAACAAAGGGUUUAAAUUAACUCUGAUUCCUGAUAUUGAGUAUGGGUAAAACAUCAGUUAGUUUUGUUUUGGGGCAGUAAGAUAACUUAUUCAUAUUUUCAAACACUUGAUUUGGCAGAGUCUGGAAGAUUACAUCCAUACCAGGUGUUUUUGUUCCUCAUGAGCUUUCUUUUUGUAUAAUAGUUACUGCUGUAGUAUUUUCUUACUGUGGAAAAUUCUCAUGCCUUUGUUAGAUUUACUUCUGAAUCUUUGCAUAUCUGCUUGAAGGUACAACAAGUAGAUAUUUUACAACUGUAAAAUAUAACUGAUACAAUAAAUAUAUACUAACUUAUUGGAUAAUUUAGUUAACAGAGAUUGAUUAGUUAACAUUGAUUUUUGAUUGAUAACGUAUUAUCUUACAUGGUUCGGUGUCAAACCAGAAAAAUAAUGUUAUUGUACUUUAUUUUUUUGUUUAUUUAGUAAAAUAUUAAGAAUAGGGUAUGUGUAAAGGUUUUUCAAAUGAUUGCUGUGAUAAAAGAACUUAAUACAAGGUAAAAUUUCUGUUACUUGGUAAAAUCAUUUCAUAAAAAUAAUGGAAACAAGUGAAUUUUAUGAUUAUGUUGUAGUGGCUAAGGAUAGUGUGAAACAAGGGAUUAUGAGAAGUGCAACAAUUAUAGAUUGGGAAAUUACAUAUGGAGUUAUUCAAGUAUGAUUAUUUCAUGCCAUCUUGAUCCUAAGAUCACAAAUCACAUAUAUAUUUUAAUAGUUUUAGAUGUAAAAAUAGACUUUCUAGUUUAAGGUCUCAUUUUAUUGGAUUCUUUUAGCUGUUCUUUCAGUGAACACUCACUUGGUAACAUUACUAACCAAGUAAGGAUGCUUUAUAUAUAGUAGUCAUGUUUAUGUUUAUGGGUCAGAGAGGCUUAGCCUAAUUUUAGUAACAAGAUGGACAUUGCCCUGUUAUAACAUCUAGGAUUGACAGUACACAUCUACACAUAAUAGAAUAAUGCACCAUGUUAUUUUAACUUUAUGAAGAAUAAUGAUGAUAUUUUGCAUUUGAAGACAAUUAAACUACUAGAAUGACUUGGAUUUCUGGACUCAUUUAGGGCCAUAGUAAGGAUAUAAUAAGAGGGUACAAUUUAAGUGAUGAUCUAUGUCAUGGCUUUACCCAAAUAAGAAGUAAUUUGUGAAUGAAUCUGAAGGUUUUUAACUUUAUGGUAGGAAAGUUGUCUAUGAACAUAAAACAUGGCUUUAUGCUGUGUUUAAAGAGGUGUGGUUAUAUAGUGUAGAGACUACUACCCAACACACAUGAUGGUCUAUUAUGCCAUUGUGUAUCUAAAAGAUCUAGCAAGGUAGAUAUGUAAUGGAAAAUUUCUGUUUACUCUUUUCAGAUGUGUUUUGUAUAAAAUAUGUGCAUAUUCUAAAUAACCAUUAUCAUUUAAAACCAUAAGUCAUUUGUAUAUAUAAAAUUAUUUUUCUUAGACAUUUGUAUCACUUCUUUAUUAACAUUUAUAGGGGUUUUAUUACAUGAAAUAAAUGAAAUGUAAAAUUUCUGAUGUUCUUAAUGUAAUAGUGUUUGUCCCAUGUAUUUACAUGUAUGUGAAUACUGUUUUAUAUACAUUAACUCAUGAGUAACUGUACUUGAUUAAAACAAUAGUCACUUAAAUGCAAGAUCACAACUUUUGGUUUCACCUGCGAUUAUUAUAUGGUUUCGUAAGUGGUAAGAUAACAGCAAUGUUUUUCCGUUUAUUCAUUGUGAACUGAGAAAUGUUACGGGCCAACAUUGUUUUUAAUUGGAAUUGCUGUAUCAGACAGUUAUAGUUAUCAAACACACAUUCAUCAGUCAUAUUUUUACAUAUUAAAUCAGUGAGCUACAUAAGAUUUGAUCACCAUCUCACUGUUUACAUGUUUGAGACUUCGCAUAGUAUAGUGCAGACUUUCUAACCCAUCCCGUCAAAUUCUCAAUUUGUUUUAUUCAUUUUAAAAAAAAAUUCUGAUGUCACGGUAUUUAACUACUGCUGAAAUAAUAGUCUAACUGUGUAGAGUGUCUGAAAUUCUUACAUUUGUAGAAACACCAUCAACUGCCAUAUGCGCAUGGUGUUAUUAAUAUCUGAGUCUUAAUAGUAUCAUACUAUUUUGUACUUAAUUUAUAUUAGGUUUAUUUGUGUAUAUAUAGAAACAUUGUGUAUAUAUAGAGAUACUUUUAUGUAUGUUCAGAUACAUCCGCCUAUGUAUAUAAUUUUUAUUCCAUUUUCUGAAUGUGUAAUACUCUUAAAAUUUAAAUUCUUUUUAGUGUUUAAAAAGUACUAUAAUGUGUCAUGUAUUUAGUGAAUUUAUGUUAAAAAUUUCAGAAAUAGUUGUUAACACAUGUAUUAAGAAAAAAAUUGUGUUUAAAACAGUUGACCUAUAAUAGUCAAGAUUUUAAAAUGUAUAUGGUUUGUAGGAAAAGAGAAAUUAUUUUGCUAAAUACUCAUAGGGUUCAUUUAGUGAUGUGGUAUUCAUUUGAGUGAUGUUGAAUUACCUAAACAUUGUUAACAAAGGGAUACUUUUAAUGUGUGUUUACAUAUAACUUAUAGAAAUGUAAAAUACAAUAUAUUUUUAUAAAUAUAUUGAGUGUAUAGUCUACCAUGCUGUCUUUUCAGAUACUAAGUUAUGAGUAUAACUCAAGUAUAAGAGUUAAGGUGGCACUGUUUUUUGAAAAUUAUGUAUGCUGUAUGUAUUUUUCUGGCCACAGAUAUUUGUGCAUAUUUUUCCAAAAGAUACCUCAGAAUUACAUAGGUAUAUAUAUCCAUCUGAUACCUGGCAAAAUGUAACUUUGUAAAUAAUGAGCUAUUUUUAUCAAACAGCUUGUAUUUUUAGAGGUGUAAAUAUGAUGUAAAUAUCAGUCUUUUAUAUUUUAUAUGAUCACGGAGCUCAGUGUUUCAUAUUUGUCUGAAUGCCGAGGAGAAAGUUAAACACUGCAUUUUUCUACUCCAUCCUCCGUGUAGCCUGGUUGACCUUUCUACUUUUUGUCAAAUUUCAUGAACAUUUUGUACUACCUCUUAGGACACUGCAAAGUUUUGUAUGUGUUUCCUGGUUGCAUGACAAUAUUCAAGACAACUUUGUAAAUAAUAGUGAAAUACAGCAUUUGAAGUCUUGUCUGUCUAGAUGGAGAGAGUGCUACAGGAUAUAAUUUUGUGAGUACAUCAUUGGAAACCUUCGUUUUAUGUUUAUUACUUAUUGAUGGUAGAGUAAUAAGAUUUAAUUUAACUUUGGCUACUUAACUCAAGAUAAGUCAUCAUAUCCCAUAGGAUAAGUAAGGCUUAUUGUACAUGUAAGGGCAUAAAUCUUCAUUCUGUUCCUCUAGUAAUGAUAGACUAGUAAUAGUAAUAGACUAGUUUCUUCUACCUCUUUGAAUUAAUACAUUAUUAUAUUCACAUUGCAUGACAGCUUUCAAGACAAUUUGUAAAUAACUGAUACAUCUUUCCAUUUGAAAAAUUCAUUUUCAGAUGCAUAUUCAUAAAAAAGUAUAAACCUGUAAAUAUUACAUUGUAAUCUAACAUUAAUAAAGCAUUGUAGCAAAUGCUUUUUUCAAGGAAAAUAUAAAUACUACUCAGUAAAUAAAAUAAGAUGCCUUUUCAAGGCAAAAAGAAAUAUUACUCAAUAAAUAAAUAAAAUUCUGAGUAAGCUAUUUAAUUUUUGCCUGGAGAAAAAUUACAUAAAAGUUAGACAGUUUUAUUUUCAUGAAGAAAGAUGUAUAGUGAACAAGUAACUCAAAUUUUGAAUUAGUUUGAGAGUUGAUAAAAGCAUUGUUUCUUGACUCUAAGGAAGGCACAUUUGUUUUUCAUAUGUAAUUAUAUUUUUUCACAUACAUUAUUAGCAAUGUGUAAUAUUUGAUUUUACAAAUUAUAAAAUAACUAUUUUAUUUCUAGUUCAGAUGAGUCUGCAAUCUCAGUGCUAUUACUGGAUACAUUUUUUUGGUAAUAAAGAGCCUAUAACUUUGUAAAUUUAUAAAAUUUUUGCUUUCUGAGAUGGUUUCAAUACAUAAAAGUUUAAAAAUUGUUUAAUAUUUAUAUAUUUUUCAUCUGAGAUUAUUAAAGUUGGAUAUUUAAUGUGUCCUCUGAAGUACUUUAAGAAAAAGUAGGCUGUAUGAUAUAUAAAGCAAUAUUAUUUAAGAAGUAGAGUUUGGCUGCAUACGGAACACAAACUAGCACCUUCCAAGAAAGACCUUGCCCAGCUACGCACCAAUUUGAGACAUCCUGGCCUAUCAAGACACUGUCAGCAGAAAGCAUGGAAGCAGAAGAACUGAAUCCCUCCUUAUAGGAACAAAAGGAUAAGAAUAUGUACUUUAUCAUUUGCUUCUCAAAUUUAUUUUUAUUAUUUGUUGAAUAUAACAAAAGGUCUGUAGCUUAAGAUCAUUUAUUAUAAUAUAACAUUUGAAAUGCUGUUCUUCAAUAGAAGUGGGGUUUGUGGUAUUGUAAUUGAAGAAAAGAACAAAUUGCAUAGAUACAUUUUAGUUCUUCGAACUAAGGUAUAUACUUAAGAAUACUACUAAUAAUAAUAUGGUAGUAAUUGAUUUGUUCAAUUCAUUUACGAUAGACAAUGUAUAUCUCCUUUGAGAUUGCCCAAUGAAAGCACCUCUAAUAAGUGAAAAAAUUAGGGAAACAGAAAACAUGUUCUGGGAAUGUUAAAUUUUUACUACCUCUAAAGAGUAAGGAGUAAGACAAUUUCUAUCUGUCCUCGUGUGUUUUAAGGCCAUUGCAGAAAAUGCUUAACAACAAGAAAUAGACUUUUCUUUUCCCAGUAGCUUUGAUUGUCGACAUCCAGGGAAUGCUGAGUUGCCUUCUCCCAAAGUUCUGUUUUUGAAUGUUUUUGUGAAGAAUUCUAGACACUCGAGGAUCUCAUGUGACAGCAAAGAGUAUUGCAUUAGCCACGAUGUCCGCACGACAGAUUUCUUAAAUCUACGUUUGAUCAACUUUUGGAGUCGAAGAAAAAUUGCUUCCCUAAAGUGUUAUCUGCAACCUAGAGGUCCAGGAAGGUGCGCAACGAGACUAGGCUCCCACAAAGCCAGUACAUGCAG